AGAGUUUGAUCCUGGCUCAGGACGAACGCUGGCGGCGCGCCUAACACAUGCAAGUCGAACGAGAGAUGAAGAGCUUGCUCUUCAAAUCGAGUGGCGAACGGGUGAGUAACGCGUGAGGAACCUGCCUCAAAGAGGGGGACAACAGUUGGAAACGACUGCUAAUACCGCAUAAGCCCACGGCUCGGCAUCGAGCAGAGGGAAAAGGAGCAAUCCGCUUUGAGAUGGCCUCGCGUCCGAUUAGCUAGUUGGUGAGGUAACGGCCCACCAAGGCGACGAUCGGUAGCCGGACUGAGAGGUUGAACGGCCACAUUGGGACUGAGACACGGCCCAGACUCCUACGGGAGGCAGCAGUGGGGAAUAUUGCACAAUGGGGGAAACCCUGAUGCAGCGACGCCGCGUGGAGGAAGAAGGUCUUCGGAUUGUAAACUCCUGUUGUUGAGGAAGAUAAUGACGGUACUCAACAAGGAAGUGACGGCUAACUACGUGCCAGCAGCCGCGGUAAAACGUAGGUCACAAGCGUUGUCCGGAAUUACUGGGUGUAAAGGGAGCGCAGGCGGGAGAACAAGUUGGAAGUGAAAUCCAUGGGCUCAACCCAUGAACUGCUUUCAAAACUGUUUUUCUUGAGUAGUGCAGAGGUAGGCGGAAUUCCCGGUGUAGCGGUGGAAUGCGUAGAUAUCGGGAGGAACACCAGUGGCGAAGGCGGCCUACUGGGCACCAACUGACGCUGAGGCUCGAAAGUGUGGGUAGCAAACAGGAUUAGAUACCCUGGUAGUCCACACCGUAAACGAUGAUUACUAGGUGUUGGAGGAUUGACCCCUUCAGUGCCGCAGUUAACACAAUAAGUAAUCCACCUGGGGAGUACGACCGCAAGGUUGAAACUCAAAGGAAUUGACGGGGGCCCGCACAA
rnacentral:rRNA from 1 species